rnacentral:lncRNA from 1 species
AGAACUGCGAUGGCGGACUCGCUGCCUCUGGAGGUGAGAGGAAGCGAGCGGUCCUUCAGGCCUUGGUCGGGGACAGGCCCCGCCUUCGGGGUCCCGAGCUUUGGGGAAAGGCUAUCUGACAGCUCGCCCGGCACCUCCCGCCAGGCGGAAACGAGCCGCCCGGCGGAUCCCACGACCUGAAAACUCUGGGUAACGGUCCUCUUUGGGGCCACUUCGACCCCUUCGGUUGGGAUACCAUUCCCUCUUUACCCAUUGGCCCCAGAAGAUGGCUGCUCUGUCACCUCAAUGAGGACGGACUCACUGCCCAUCCCUUUCCCUUGAGAUGGCCGUUCCCUCCCCCUCAGUUCUAGAAGAUGUCCGCUCCACCGUCCCUGAAGGGUAAUCAAUUUUAUCCCCAUUGGCCCCUUGGAAUGGUCGUUCCAUUUCCUCCACCCCUCCCCCACCGUCCUCGCAGUUGGAAAUAGACUGCUCCCGCCCCCUAGUUCUGGGGACCAUACCCAAUGUCCUUAAUGUAAGACAAGCCUGCUCCUCAUUCUAGACCCCUAGUGAUGGCUGCCCCUGUAUUAUUCAACCCCAUGGGGUGUUUGUUCCUUUAGCCAGGGGCAAGGAGAUACAGAUGCAGGCUUUGUGUCUUGCACCUUUUUUGAAAUGGCUUCUCUAUCCAUUUUGCCCUGAGGGUUGGCAACCCCCUCUCGUUGCCCUAGGAAGUCAGGCCUUUUCCCUUGAGUCGUGACAUCCUAUUCCCUUUUGGCCCCAGAAGGUAUCUAUUCAUCCCUGUAAACCCCAUGGGUUACCAGUAGUAGUAAUCUUUUGGGGUGCUCUCAUGGGAUGACCACUCCACCCCUAUCUCUACUCCUCUAGUGCUAGAAAGGCAUUUCUCAGGAUAAUGAAUUAUGUAUGAUCCUUUCCAUUAAGACAUGUUGUCCUUUAGCAUGGCUCCCAGGGUUGAUCAUUCAGAAGAUAGGUCAGCCACUCUCUUAGUCCAGUCUUCCCUCUUAGCCCCCUAGGGAUGGGGGCUUAGUCAUCCCAGUCCCAUCCAUACUCUUCCUCAUGUCUCUCCUCUCUGGUCCUAGUCAUUUUCCUCUGAAUAGUAAUCUCCUUUAUCCCCCACCCCUUCCCUGAGCAAACCUUUGGUGAAAGUAGAGGCAAAGGACUAUCUUUAGUCCAGUAAAUACUGGGUGAGUACUGCGUAUGUACUUAGCAUCUGAGAAGAAAGGAGAAAACACAGCGGGGCUAGUGAAGUCACUGUAGAAGGACUUUGCAGAAAGAGCCCCACAUACGGGAAAAGAGAUGCUGUGUUGGUAGUGAGGAUGGGCUGGGGGUGUUCUGGGAGCAGCAGGCCCAACCAGGCAUGGAGGUCUGGACUGUGAGAUUAGUGGUGAACCCAGGUUUUUCACGAGGGGCACUGAAACUGGACUAUAUAUGGAUUAGCAAGGCUGAACAUAGAAGGAAACUGUAAAAGGAAUCUAGCUCCAUUGGAUAAAAUUUGGAGCUAUUAAUAUGGUGAUGUUGCAAAGGUAGAAAUGCUGCUAACAGCCAUCCAGUCCCUGAAGAACUGAUCUAGGUGGUUUUAAAAUGCCUUCACAUCUUCAUAUACUUCAGACACGGAAGCUGAGAGAAGUCACAUGCCUCUAAUGGUUACUCUCUUGGGUAACUUUCUCCAGUAGAGCUGGGAUCGGGGAAGUCUGGGUUAGCCUUGUCUAAACCGUCAGCUUUGUGAGUAGAGAAUAGAAGAACAUGAGCCCAAAUGUCACUAGGGACCUCAGAUUGAGAGUGCAGUUGGCAUUAAAGUCCAAGUGUCACUAGGGACCUCAGAUUGGGAGAGCAGUCGGCAUUAAAGGGUAAAAUUGGACUGAGGGCAAAAACCACUUAAUGACAUUAAGGUUGAUAACUAUUUGAGUAGAGGACCCCAAAGACAAUUGUACUAGACUAAUGCUUGGUUAAUAGGACAACGUAAAGCUAUUAAAUUGUUGAGUAUUCUUAUGCAAAUAAACUGAAAAUCAAGAGAUUAACAUUGAAAAUCAUGAAAAUUCAGAAGAAUGGUAAAAGCCUAGAAAACAUUGUCAUAGGACUCAACGAGGGAAGAUUCUAGAAGAAAAAGGCAGUUAAUAGGAAGUUGUUCCUGGCCUCCCAAGUGACCCUUUUCUCACUCCAGACAGAGCCCCACCAACCUCACCACCUACAGACUCAUUGAGCACUGUGGGAGGGAAGAGUUGAGUCUCCCAAGUUUGUUGUGUCGUCCUACCUUAAGCUGGCUGAGAAAACAAGCUGAUAAUGGAGAAGAUGGGAAGAGAGUAGGGGUCCCAAAGCUGCUCAUCAUGGCUCAUGCUCACAAUCCCAUCACAUGAGAUAGAGUUGUAGCUAAAGCAGGAGAAUGGCUGUGCCACAUGGAAGCCAGUCUAGUACACAGCAUGUUCCAGGACAGCCUGGGUUACAUAGUGAAACCCUGUGGUCUAGAUGUGCGGGAAAAAUGCUAUUUUGUAACUUCCCACAAGAACCUUUUUAAAUCUCACAACAGUUGCCAUUUUACAGACAAAAAAAACAAAACAAAAC